GACGAACGCUGGCGGCGUGCCUAAUACAUGCAAGUAGAACGCACAGUUUAUACCGUAGCUUGCUCCACCAUAGACUGUGAGUUGCGAACGGGUGAGUAACGCGUAGGUAACCUGCCUGGUAGCGGGGGAUAACUAUUGGAAACGAUAGCUAAUACCGCAUAAUAUUAAUUAUUGCAUGAUAAUUAAUUGAAAGGUGCAAUUGCACCACUACCAGAUGGACCUGCGUUGUAUUAGCUAGUAGGUGAGGUAACGGCGCACCUAGGCGACGAUACAUAGCCGACCUGAGAGGGUAAGCGGCCACACUGGGACGGGGACACGGCCCAGACUCCUACGGGAGGCAGCAGUAGGGGAUCUUCGGGAAUGGACGAAAGUCUGACCGAGCAACGCCGCGUGAGUGAAGAAGGUUUUCGGAUCGUAAAGCUCUGUUGUAAGAGAAGAACGGGUGUGAGAGUGGAAAGUUCACACUGUGACGGUAUCUUACCAGAAAGGGACGGCUAACUACGUG
rnacentral:rRNA from 1 species